rnacentral:rRNA from 1 species
AUUGAACGCUGGCGGCGUGCUUAACACAUGCAAGUCGUGCGGUAACAGGCGUAGCAAUACGUGCUGACGAGCGGCGAACGGGUGCGUAAUACAUGGGAAUCUGCCUUUUAGUGGGGGAAUAACCCGGCGAAAAGCCGGGCUAAUGCCGCAUAAGAUCUUCGGAUGAAAGCGGGGGAUCGUAAGACCUCGCGCUGAUAGAUGAGCCCAUGCCGGAUUAGCAGUUGGUGAGGUAACGGCUCACCAAGGCGACGAUCCGUAGCUGGUCUGAGAGGACGGCCAGCCACACUGGGACUGAGACACGGCCCAGACUCCUACGGGAGGCAGCAGUGGGGAAUAUUGGACAA